UACAGAGGUCUCAAGCGUUGUUCGGAUUCAUUGGGCGUAAAGGGUGCGUAGGCGGCGCGGUAAGUCGGGUGUGAAAUCUUGGAGCUUAACUCCGAAACUGCAUUCGAUACUGCCGUGCUUGAGGACUGGAGAGGAGACUGGAAUUUACGGUGUAGCGGUGAAAUGCGUAGAUAUCUGGAGGAACACCGGUGGCGAAGGCGGCAUCCUGGACCGAUACUGACGCUGAGGAGCGAAAGCCAGGGGAGCAAACGGG
rnacentral:rRNA from 1 species